rnacentral:rRNA from 1 species
UGCCAGCAGCCGCGGUAAUACGGAGGGUGCAAGCGUUGUUCGGAAUUAUUGGGCGUAAAGCGUGCGUAGGCCGCCUGGUAAGUCGGAUGUGAAAUCCCGGGGCUUAACUCCGGAACUGCAUCCGAUACUGCCAGGCUUGAGUACGGGAGAGGGAAGCGGAAUUCCUGGUGUAGCGGUGAAAUGCGUAGAUAUCAGGAGGAACACCUGUGGCGAAGGCGGCUUUCUGGACCGAUACUGACGCUGAGACGCGAAAGCGUGGGGAGCAAACAGGAUUAGAUA